GAUGAACGCUGGCGGCGUGCCUAAUACAUGCAAGUCGAGCGAACAGACGAGGAGCUUGCUCCUCUGACGUUAGCGGCGGACGGGUGAGUAACACGUGGAUAACCUACCUAUAAGACUGGGAUAACUUCGGGAAACCGGAGCUAAUACCGGAUAAUAUAUUGAACCGCAUGGUUCAAUAGUGAAAGACGGUUUUGCUGUCACUUAUAGAUGGAUCCGCGCCGCAUUAGCUAGUUGGUAAGGUAACGGCUUACCAAGGCAACGAUGCGUAGCCGACCUGAGAGGGUGAUCGGCCACACUGGAACUGAGACACGGUCCAGACUCCUACGGGAGGAAGCAGUAGGGAAUCUUCCGCAAUGGGCGAAAGCCUGACGGAGCAACGCCGCGUGAGUGAUGAAGGUCUUCGGAUCGUAAAACUCUGUUAUUAGGGAAGAACAAAUGUGUAAGUAACUAUGCACGUCUUGACGGUACCUAAGCAGAAAGCCACGGCUACCUACGU
rnacentral:rRNA from 1 species